UGCACGUCAUAUCAUUCUGCAGCCCAAGACCGGUUCCUCAAUAAAGCUAAGCAGGGCUGAGCCUGGUCAGUUCCUGCAUCGGAGACCACAUGGGAACACCUAGGUUGCUGUUGAAA
rnacentral:rRNA from 1 species